rnacentral:rRNA from 1 species
GACGAACGCUGGCGGCGUGCUUAACACAUGCGAGUCGAACGGAAAGGCCCUGCUUUUGUGGGGUGCUCGAGUGGCGAACGGGUGAGUAACACGUGAGUAACCUGCCCUUGACUUUGGGAUAACUUCAGGAAACUGGGGCUAAUACCGGAUAGGAGCUCCUGCUGCAUGGUGGGGGUUGGAAAGUUUCGGCGGUUGGGGAUGGACUCGCGGCUUAUCAGCUUGUUGGUGGGGUAGUGGCUUACCAAGGCUUUGACGGGUAGCCGGCCUGAGAGGGUGACCGGCCACAUUGGGACUAAGAUACGGCCCAGACUCCUACGGGAGGCAGCAGUGGGGAAUAUUGCACAAUGGGCGGAAGCCUGAUGCAGCAACGCCGCGUGCGGGAUGACGGCCUUCGGGUUGUAAACCGCUUUCGCCUGUGACGAAGCGUGAGUGACGGUAAUGGGUAAAGAAGCACCGGCUAACUACGUG